rnacentral:piRNA from 1 species
UCCGAUAUUUUAAUAUUUUCA